UACGUAGGGUGCAAGCGUUGUCCGGAAUUAUUGGGCGUAAAGAGCUCGUAGGCGGUUUGUCGCGUCUGCUGUGAAAACCCGAGGCUCAACCUCGAGCCUGCAGUGGAUACGGGCAGACUAGAGGUAGGUAGGGGAGAAUGGAAUUCCCGGUGUAGCGGUGAAAUGCGCAGAUAUCGGGAGGAACACCGGUGGCGAAGGCGGUUCUCUGGGCCGUAACUGACGCUGAGGAGCGAAAGCGUGGGGAGCGAACAGG
rnacentral:rRNA from 1 species